rnacentral:rRNA from 1 species
CCUACGGGCGGCAGCAGUGGGGAAUAUUGGACAAUGGGCGAAAGCCUGAUCCAGCCAUGCCGCGUGUGUGAAGAAGGCCUUCGGGUUGUAAAGCACUUUCAGUGGGGAAGAAAGCCUUGGGGCUAAUACCCUCGAGGAAGGACAUCACCCACAGAAGAAGCACCGGCUAACUCCGUGCCAGCAGCCGCGGUAAUACGGAGGGUGCGAGCGUUAAUCGGAAUUACUGGGCGUAAAGCGCGCGUAGGCGGUCUGAUAAGCCGGUUGUGAAAGCCCCGGGCUCAACCUGGGAACGGCAUCCGGAACUGUCAGGCUAGAGUGCAGGAGAGGAAGGUAGAAUUCCCGGUGUAGCGGUGAAAUGCGUAGAGAUCGGGAGGAAUACCAGUGGCGAAGGCGGCCUUCUGGACUGACACUGACGCUGAGGUGCGAAAGCGUGGGUAGCAAACAGGAUUAGAUACCCUUGUGUC